rnacentral:rRNA from 1 species
GUCUACGACCAUGGCACCCUGAACAAGCCCAAUUUCGUCUGAUCUUGGAAGCUAAGCAGGGUCGGGCCUGGUUAGUACAUGGAUGGGAGACCACCUAGGAAGAUCAGGUGCUGUAGGCA